rnacentral:rRNA from 1 species
GGCCUUGUAUGCUCGCCAGAGAAAACCAAAACUCUUUUUAUUAAUGUCGUCUGAGUACUAUAUAAUAGUUAAAACUUUCAACAACGGAUCUCUUGGUUCUGGCAUCGAUGAAGAACGCAGCGAAAUGCGAUAAGUAAUGUGAAUUGCAGAAUUCAGUGAAUCAUCGAAUCUUUGAACGCACAUUGCGCCCCUUGGUAUUCCGGGGGGCAUGCCUGUUCGAGCGUCAUUUCAACCCUCAAGCUUAGCUUGGUAUUGAGUCUAUGUCAGUAAUGGCAGGCUCUAAAAUCAGUGGCGGCGCCGCUGGGUCCUGAACGUAGUAAUAUCUCUCGUUACAGGUUCUCGGUGUGCUUCUGCCAAAACCCAAAUUUUUCUAUGGUUGACCUCGGAUCAGGUAGGGAUACCCGCUGAACUUAAGCAUA